UCGUCCCAGCGUCGAUCCCACGCAAGUCCAGCCUCUUCAUCCGCCCGCGAUCACUCCCAGCUGUCCGUGAUGAUUUUGUGCAUCCUCUUCUUCCGCGAGCCAUUCCCGGAUCUGCGCCUGCUCUUCUUCCGCCCGCGAUCAUCUCCACAGCUUCCGAGCCCGUGAUCCCCUUCUUCCGAACCCGCAUCAGACCUCCCCAGCCGUCUGCAAAGCAUCCGCUCCACAUUUGCCGCCUCCCACGCAUGAUCCGUGGCAUCCGUUCUCAGCGUCGGAUCCGUGACACGCUCCUCUUCCGCCAAUCUCACGGCUCCCAG
rnacentral:lncRNA from 1 species